AGAUUUUUGACCUUAGCCACCAGAAGUUUGGAAUUAUUUACUGAGAUAGCAUAUACUGCAGAAGGGGCAAGUUGGGUGGAGAAAUGUACUAAUAUUAAUCCAAUCUACCUAUCUACACACACAUAUGUAUGUGUAGCACUUCACAGUUAACAAUCUAUUUGUUAUUCACACUCAGGGAUCUCAUUUGCUUUCUUUCACUGCAGGAAGCUGAGAGUGCUGAGGGCACAUCUGAAACCACUGGAGGUUGGCGACGUGGAGGUCAGGUAGUAGUGCUCUCCCACCAGGAGUCCCUCUGCACCCCUGGAGAGAGCAGUCAUUAUGCAGGACAACCCAUCUGCUCAGAACUUUCAGUGGCGACUUGUGGUGUGACUCUGUUCCCAUUCAUCUAUGUGCUGCUGUAGGCUUAGCUUCCCACAGCCUCCCCAGCUUUGCCAUUUGUCAUUAUCAUUUACUCUUAAUAUUUAUUCUAUCUAUGACCCUGAUGCACAGAGUGAUAGCUGAUAGUCUCUUAAAACAACGUUUACAAUUAUUUUGACAGUUUACCGUGUUUUGUUCUCUCAACAAUACUUAGAAUUUGUCUGAGUUAUAGUUGCAUAGACGGCAAUUUUCCUGACCUAGUUUUCUGACUAUGAUUUAUGGGUCAGUAAACUCCUUAAAUGAUGGAAUAUAACAUCUCAGGCCACAGGGAACACUUACUAUCACAUGCUCACUGUUGCAGGACGGAUGCGUGGCCAGCCUCAGGUUGCUAAAUGUUAGGGUGAUCUGCCUUCCUUCUGGGGCGGUGAUUCUCCACUUGUAGAUCCGGCCAUGAGGAUUUAGGUUCGGGUAGUUGGGAGAAGUAGAUGUUCCAGCAGAGCCCUGAAGAUCCCCACCACACUCUGAUGUGGGGGAAGAAAGCCAAGAAAACUUCCAAUCAAAUCAAAAUGUCUCCUUCCAUCAGGAAAGCUCUCAAAAUUCAGGUGUCCUGCGUGUACAAAGAAAAUAAUAAAAAACAAGACCUUGCCCAUGAAGAAAUAUUAAUCUCUCUCAAGAAAACAGGAAAACAUGAAUGAAAAUUAACAUAUUCAAAUAUAUGAAGAAGUGAAAAAAAUGCAACCAGUUAGGGGAAGGAUAUCUCAGGAUAAUGAGGAAGGCCAGUUUUUUGGUUGAAAAAGUGGUUUGAGACAACAGAGUGACAAAUAUCUGCCUUAUGCUACUGCCAGGAGACAUGCAUGACCCUCUUUCUGCCUCAAGCUAUAGAACACCCCUCAAAUAACGGCAUCUGGCAAUGGGAUGUCUCAGCAGCAACAGGUUGCCUUCCCACUACCGUUGCUCUCCCCAGGUGGCCUCCAGGGUAGGCUAUAUGACACCUGGGCUCUGGACAUCCAUUGUUAAUGGUAGAAUUGAGGUAGAGAAUCACUGGUACUGCCCAAAGCCCAUUAAUCUGCACUUCUUUGCAGAGUAUAGACAUGCUUUGCCUUUCUUGGAAGUGAAGAAACUUCAGAGGCUGAAUAAGUACAUGCGAAAAUAAACACCCCAAAGAGAGCAGAUAUAUUUCACUAACCAGAAGUAUGAUAGUCCCAGGUCUCCACAAAGUCUUUUUCACAGCCAGAGGAAUUCUGAAGGUUAAAAUCUUCAAAAGAGAUGGUGAGAUAGUGUCUGGAGAGCCCCUGGAGAUGCCAAUCACAGAAUAAGUUGUCUCUAUAUGGAAGCAUUAGAUGGCCAAUGCUUUCAACAACACCACUUUGCCCUGUUACUCUUCCCCCACACUGAGCUGAAAAAAAAAAGAAAGAAAGAAAGAAAAGAAAGAAAGGAUUCUAUUACAAACUGUGUUUUUUUCAUUUCACCAGCACAUGUGAAAACUUUUAGGUGCCAAGUGACUAUGAAUUGAAGUUUUUAAAAUUCUGAAAAUGCUUAGUGCUUUCCUCAUUAUUUGAAUUCUAGGGUUGAUGUAAACAGAAGUGAUACCACAAGUCCAAUCCAAUAAUGGGAAACAAGAUGACGACCAAAUGGCACAUUCUGUAAUGUCACAUUAAUUCUUUUGGGACACUAUGUAAGAGCUAUCAGUUGCAAGCAAGUUUCAUCUCAAGAACAAACUGGUAGACUCAUCUGACCUGCCUAGAACCUUGUGUUGAUUCUAAAGACUGAACCCAAGCUCACCUGGAAGGGGGGACACCUGCUAUAUCUAGUUUUACUAUCAACUAAACUUUCACUACUGUAACUGAUAUCUCAGGGCCUUGAAAAUUACUAUUCAAUUAUGUCUUAUUAGCUGGAUGUGGUAGCUAAUUGAAUUAUAUGCAGCUUGACCCGGGAUAUAAUAUGAUCUAUGGUGUAGUUAAAUACUGUUACAACUAGCCUUUCUGAACUUUUGCUAUAUUAAAUAUUUGUUUGGUUUGUGUCUAGACCUAUCAGAUACUAAAUUGUGUGCUAUUGUGACCAUACUAUAGUGAAUCUUCAACAAGCAAAGUUACUGCUCAAUUUUUAAGUAAGGAAAUCAAAAUCCUGAAGAGACAUAUUUGCUUUUUAUCCAGUGACUGAUUUGGCACUAGAGACUCAGAGAAAAAAAAAAAGCUUAAUCAUUUUAUAUAUGAUGAGGAAUUCAAAGACAUUGUUCUAAAUAUAGUUAUCUGGUUCUUAAAUAGUUGUAUUACUUAAAGUAAUAAACAUACUGUAGUUCUUCCUUUUCCUUGGCGGAUACAUUCCAAGUCCCCCCAGUGAGUGCCUAAAACCUUGGAUAGUACCAAACCCUAUAUAGACAUAUAGACAAUUUUUUUCUACAUAUAUGUACCUAUGAUAAAGCUUGCUUUAUCAAUUAAACGUAGUAAGAGAUUAACUAAUAAUAAAAUAGAACAAUCAUAACAAUAUACUGUAAGAAAAGUUAUGUAAAUGUGGUCUCUCAAAAUAUCUUGGUGUACUGUACUCACCUAUUUUUUGGGCCUCUGUUUACCAAGUGCAUUGAAACCAUGGAACAUGAAACCAUGGAUAAGAGAGAACUACUGAAUUUCAUAGUAAGCAGAAGAAACAGGAGUUUGAUUUAACUACACAUAUUUCUUCACAAAUAAGUUAGAAAAAAUAUAAAAUAUUCAAGUUUACUAAGAUUACAUUUUAAAAUAAAAAUUAAAAGAGAAAUUAAAGUUGAUGACUGUGGUUUUAAACAUUUACACUCCUUACUUAUUUAUAGCAUUAAAAUAUUUUUAAAAUUAUGCAGAUAGAAUGACUUCUUUUUAAAAAGUCAUGGUUUUAAAAAAAGUUUUAACAUAUUCAUCCUGUAAUAACUCUUUUAUUUAAUAUAAAAAUGUUUUCCAGGGUUUUUAUAGUUUUGUGUUUUACAGUUAAGUCUUCAAUCUAUCUUGAAUUGAUUUUUGUAUAUGGUAUAAGGAAGGGGUCCAGUUUCAAUCUUCCGCAUAUUGCUAGCCAGUUCUCCCAGCAUCAUUUAUUGGAUAGGGAGUCUUUUCCCCAUUGCUUGCUUUUGUCAGCUUUGUUGAAGAUCAGAUGCCUGUAAGUGUGAGGCCCUAUUUCUAAGCUCUCUAUUCCAUUUUAUUGGUCUAUGUGUCUAUUUUUGUACCAGUACCAUGCUGUUUUGGUUACUGUACCCCUGUAGUAUAGUUUCAAGUCAGGUAUUGUGAUGCCUCCAGCUUUGUUCUUUUAGUUUAGGAUUGCCUUGGUUAUUUGGGUUCUUUCUGGGGUCCAUAUGAGUUUUAAAAUAGUUUUUUCUAGUACUGUGAAGAAUGUCAUGGUAGUUUGAUAGGAAUAGCAUUGAAUAUGUAAAUUUGGGGAAGCAGUAUGACCACUUUAAUAAUACUGAUUCUUCCUAUCUAUGAGCAUGGAAUUUUUUUUCAUUUGAUAGGGUGGAGGGUGGGAGAAGGGAGAGGGGCAGAAAAAAUAGCUAUUAGAUACUAGGCUUAGUACCUGAGUGAUGAAAUAAUCUUUAUAAUGACCCCCAUGGCACGAGUUUACCUAUAUAACAAACCUGCACAUGUAACCCUGAACCUAAAAUAAAAGUUAAAAAAUAUAUAUUACCUAUAGAAUACUUGGCCUUGAAUCCCACAUGAGUGGGGC
rnacentral:lncRNA from 1 species